CCUUCAAUUAUGAUUUCAUGUGCAAUUUUCUGGAGCUCAUGGGAUUGCGCCUCCACAGAUCUUUCAUCCACCAUCUGGUACUUCAGGUUCCUACUAACAGCAUACUUCUUCACACCAGCCUCCUCAGUAUCAUACUUCUUUUUCAGCGCCUCCCAAACAUCUUUAGCACGGUUGUAUGUACUAUAAUAGUCAUACAAAUCAUCACAGAGACCAUUUAUGAUAUAGCCUUCGCAUAAAUAAUCA
rnacentral:lncRNA from 1 species